AUUGAACGCUGGCGGCAGGCUUAACACAUGCAAGUCGAGCGGAGAUGAGGUGCUUGCACCUUAUCUUAGCGGCGGACGGGUGAGUAAUGCUUAGGAAUCUGCCUAUUAGUGGGGGACAACAUUCCGAAAGGAAUGCUAAUACCGCAUACGUCCUACGGGAGAAAGCAGGGGAUCUUCGGACCUUGCGCUAAUAGAUGAGCCUAAGUCGGAUUAGCUAGUUGGUGGGGUAAAGGCCUACCAAGGCGACGAUCUGUAGCGGGUCUGAGAGGAUGAGCCGCCACACUGGGACUGAGACACGGCCCAGACUCCUACGGGAGGCAGCAGUGGGGAAUAUUGGACAAUGGGGGGAACCCUGAUCCAGCCAUGCCGCGUGUGUGAAGAAGGCCUUAUGGUUGUAAAGCACUUUAAGCGAGGAGGAGGCUACUGAGACUAAUACUCUUGGAUAGUGGACGUUACUCGCAGAAUAAGCACCGGCUAAUUCUGUGCCAGCAGCCGCGGUAA
rnacentral:rRNA from 1 species